CACGUAGGGUCCGAGCGUUGUCCGGAAUUACUGGGCGUAAAGCGCGCGCAGGCGGUCCAUUCAGCCGCUGGUGAAAGCCCCACGCUCAACGUGGGAAGGUCCGGCGAGACGGGUGGACUGGAGGCAGGGAGAGGUCGGUGGAAUUCCGGGUGUAGUGGUGAAAUGCGUAGAGAUCCGGAGGAACACCAGAGGCGAAGGCGGCCGACUGGACCUGACCUGACGCUGAGGCGCGAAGGCGUGGGGAGCGAACGGG
rnacentral:rRNA from 1 species